rnacentral:rRNA from 1 species
UAGGGAAUAUUGGACAAUGGGGGCAACCCUGAUCCAGCCAUGCCGCGUGAGUGAAGAAGGCCCUCGGGUUGUAAAGCUCUUUUGUCCGGAAAGAAAAGCUUCGGGUUAAUACCCCGGGGUUCUGACGGUACCGGAAGAAUAAGCACCGGCUAACUUCGUGCCAGCAGCCGCGGUAAUACGAAGGGUGCAAGCGUUACUCGGAAUUACUGGGCGUAAAGCGUGCGUAGGUGGUUGUUUAAGUCUGAUGUGAAAGCCCUGGGCUCAACCUGGGAAUGGCAUUGGAAACUGGGCAGCUAGAGUGCGGUAGAGGGUAGUGGAAUUCCCGGUGUAGCAGUGAAAUGCGUAGAGAUCGGGAGGAACAUCGGUGGCGAAGGCGACUGCCUGGACCAGCACUGACACUGAGGCACGAAAGCGUGGGGAGCAAACA